rnacentral:rRNA from 1 species
GUCUACAGCCACGCCACCCUGAACAAGCCCGAUCUCGUCUGAUCUUGGAAGCUAAGCAGGGUCGGGCCUGGUUAGUACUUGGAUGGGAGACCACCUAGUUAGACCGAGUGCUGUAGGCA